rnacentral:tRNA from 1 species
GCUCAGUUAGUUGAGUGUCCAACUCUUGAUCUCAGCUCAGCUCUUGAUCUCAGGGUCGUGAGUUCAAGUCCCACACUGGGCU